rnacentral:rRNA from 1 species
UACUGGCCUUGCCUCAGUACGGCGAGUGAGCGGCAAAAGCUCAAAUUUGAAACCCUCGGGAUUGUAAUUUGAAGAUUUGGCAUUGGAGAAAGCUAACCCAAGUUGCUUGGAAUAGUACGUCAUAGAGGGUGACAACCCCGUCUGGCUAACCGUUCUCCAUGUAUUGCCUUAUCAAAGAGUCGAGUUGUUUGGGAAUGCAGCUCAAAGUGGGUGGUAAACUCCAUCUAAAGCUAAAUACUGGUGAGAGACCGAUAGCGAACAAGUACUGUGAAGGAAAGGUGAAAAGAACUUUGAAAAGAGAGUGAAAUAGUAUGUGAAAUUGUUGAUAGGGAAGGAAAUGAGUGGAGAGUGGCCGAGGUUUCAGCCGCCCCUCGUGGGCGGUGUACUGCCGACGCCGAGUCAUCGAUAGCGAGACGAGGGUUACAAAUGGGAGCGCCUUCGGGCGUUCUCCCCUAACCCUCCACACUGCCACCGACGACAUAAUCCACCCAUUUCACCCGUCUUAA